GCAAGUGACCAUACAAUAAAUUACGGGGCAGAGGAGAGUGGCAGAGGAGAGUGGUGCUAUAACAACUGGAGGUUGCUGUGGGAUGAUAAACAGUCAAUAUUCAUCGAAAGUGAUUGUUUCUCGAAAAGUGGUUUGCUUGUGAAAGAAAGUGAUAUAUGUGUUAGUAUAUAUUAAAAUAUUCCGACUGGAUUUAACUUUCAACACCGUUUGGAAUCUACGUAGAUAUAGUGAAGGAGUAUAAUUAAAAGUGAUAUUAAAUCUGGCAUGCACAUAAAGAUGAUAAGGAAUUAUAGUUAUUGGUGAUGUUGGAUGUAAUUUUCAAGACAAUUUGGAAUUGAAUGCUAUUAUUUGUGUGUUCGUUUCAUUGUAAUUAAUAUUUACUCAAACAGGAUUUGUCGCCAUCUGGAAUAUGAUUGUAUAAAGGGAAGAAAUGUAAUUAGUGGUGAGUAUGCUUUGCAAUUGAAUUUAAUUUUUAACAAUUUGGAAGGAACAAAGAUAUAGUAAAGGAAUUAAAUAAUUUGUGCGAUUCAAAUCGGAUUUAAUUUGCACUUCUGAAAUAUAUGUGCAUAUAGAAUGGUAUAUAAUAUGUGAUAAGCACGUUGCAUUCAAAUUAUCAACACGUAUUCAAAUCAGAUUUAGUGUUCAAGACAUUUGGAAUAUACAUAGAUAUAGGGAAGGUAUGUAAUUAUUACUAAUAUUCAAAUCGGAUUAAUUUUCAAUACAAUUUGGAACAUACAUAGAUAAAGUGCAGAAAUAUUAUUAUUGGUUUUGAAAUAAUUGAUACUAGAAUGGAACCUUUGAAAGCUGUGCUUGUAUAUUUCAAGGGUGGAGAAAAAACAACCAAUAUGCACGACAUCUUUUUCAAAUGGCUAUUAGAAAAGGUUACAUCAAUUUAUUUCACCUGGCAAUUAUUUGCUAUUGAUCAGAACUCAAAAUAUCGGUUUUGGUAUGAAAUAUUGCAUUCUUAUACUAUGUACUCAAACAGGAUUAAAUUUUCAAUACAAUUAGGAAUAUACAUAUAGAGUAUGAGUAUAACUAUUUGUGAGAAGGUUUUAUUAUAAAAUAUAAUAUGUAUUCAAAUUGAAUUUAAUUUUUCAACGGAGUUUGAAAUAUACAUAGAUCUAGUGAAGGAAUAUAAUUAUUUGUGAGCAGGUUUUAUUAUAAUUAUUGUUGAGUAUUCAAACUGGAUUAAAUUGGAAUAUACGUGAAGGAAUGUAACUAUUUGUGAUAUUCAGGUCGGAUUUUCAACAAAAUUGGCAAUAUGCAAGGAUAAUUUUCAAUAUAAUUUGGAAUAUACAUAGACGUAGUGAAGAAAUGUAAUUAUUGGUGAUAUUCUAACCUGGUUUAAUUUUAAGUACAAUUAGAAAUAUUCAUACAUAUAGUGAAGGUAUAUAAUUAUUGACGAUGUCAAUGUUUAAUACAAGUUGGAUAUAAAUUGGAUUUUGCAUAGCUAUAGGAAAGGAAAAUCAUUAUCGGUGAGUAAGUUUAUUCUAUUUAUCGAUAUCAUAUUAUACUUAAAUCUGAUAUUCUCAAAACUUUAGGAAUAAACAUUUAAAAUCAUUAAUGGCCCUAAGUUUCAAUCAUUAUAUAAAGUAUACCACAGAUAUACCAUUAUCUAUCUAGGUAAUAGACUUAAAGAUCAAAUAGGGAAAAACUUUGCAGAAUAAAUGCAUUUGGAGUACUAAGAAGAUCAUCUUGGAUUGAAAGUAAUAGGACAGGCCUUUACUGAAUGUAAAACAAGAAAACUGCAUUUUUGUUAAAGUAUUUAUAGCGUUAAGAAGAAUCAUAUAUUAACGGUUAAAAAUACAUGUUUGUUCGGCUCUUUAUUUUCAAUCUGCAUUGUUGUAUUCACAUAACAUUCAUUAAACAGAAAGAAAAGGAAUAAAAGAAAUGAAACAGAGAAAAUACUUAUAGUACUAAUGAAAAUUUUGUUAAACGAUCAAAUUAUCUGCCAAUAUUUUAAGGUCUUUUGUUCUUAAGUUAAAAUGUAUGAAUAAUUUUGUCAUUUAACUUGUUUUCACUUUUAUAUGUAUGUAUAGAUAUAACAUUGCUGUGGUUUAUUUUUGCUAUGCAAAUAAUAGACAAACAGAUAAAUAACGUUCCAUAAUCAGAAAUAGUGUUUUUCACAAAUCAAGAUUUUGGGUUUUGUCGUAAUUAAAUGUUUUUGUUUUCAUCUGAUUGUAUGUUAUGGGUGCCGAUUUUUCUGUAGGGUUUAGUCUUUUAAGUCUCCAAGUUACAUUUGAAACAAGAAGGCCUGCUUUUAUUGAGGACUGUUCGAAAAUCUUUGUAUGAGUACUGGAUACGUCUUUUCUCAAACAAACAAGUUGAAGAAAUAAUAAACAACCAUAAAGAAAUGAUCAACUAUAUGUUUUUAGUUUUUAUUCAAAAGCAUAGCCAAGACAUUUUUAUAUCUACUUAUGUAUGCAAAGACCUACAAUAAUUUAGAUGGUUGAUAUAUAUCACGUACCGUUACCUUAGAUUUUACAAAAUACAAUUGCCAGAAGAAUCAAACCAAUCUAAAUUUAUAUUUCAGAAUAUGCUAAUCAUAAUGGAAAAGACAUAAGAUUCCAAAUAUAUGCAGCCAUUGUUCUUAAAAAUACGAGUAAACUACUGCGAUCAACACUUAAGAAAUCCGUUCCGGAAUAUUUUACUUGAGGAGUAUUUUGGCAACAUGAAAUGAUAACGUGACCUAUAUCUUAAUUGAUUGUUUGCAGCAAAGAUAUUACUUUCAGGGUGUCUCGAGUUGUUGAAUUUUGCAUGAUUUGUAAAAGUGGCUAAUAAGAAAUUAUCAUGUUCCGGAAAACUUGUUGUCACGAACACGUAUAUCAUGAAACUGUCUCAAAAAAAAAAAAAAAACACUUGGAAAUAAAAUAAGAAUCAUAUAAUUUUUACAUUUAUGGCUGCAGAAAUAAGUCCAAGCAAAUAUAUUUCAUGUUCCAAGCAAGUGCAUUGUUGAUUGAAAUUUAGUUUUCUUUCCAGAAUGCAUAAAGCAUUUGGGGUCCGACUAGGCUCUUUAGCUUAACAAUUAAAUAUGUUGGUUAAAAAAAUCUGUAAUUAAUAGAUGAUGUCCCUGGAUGUGAUCUUGAUUGACAGGACAACAAAAGCAAAAGCAAACAUUUCAUUUUAUUGAACAUUACCAUUCAUUCCUAAGUGAAAAUUUUUUUAGGGGAAAUUUGUUUAAUUCAAAAGUAUUUACCGCGAAAACAAAUCGAAAGAUGUAGCUUUGAAUUUCAUAAAUAAGUAGCAAUACUAUGGUACUAAGAUCUUUUAUGUGAAGAAACGGGUAGGCAAUGUUUAUACAAAAUAGCAAACUUUGCUAUUUCCCUUCAGUAUGUAUCUUUUUAAAAGAAUAUGAUAAUUUAGAUUAAAUGAAAUCAACCUUUAUGUCAAUAGGCUUAGGCAAUCUUAUUUCAUCGAAUGCCCUGAUAAUUAUUUACCUCAAAGCAACAGUUCUGAAAGAAAUGAAUCGUGCGUAGAAAACAACUUUUACAAAACGGUGUUUAAACUAUUUCCACCAUCUUGAAUUUAGAAUGACCUUUAUUUUAGGUGUGAAAAAAUGAAUUAAAACUUUCAAAUGCAACUGUUUUAUUAUACCAACACAGCGCAGUUUGCACACACAACCUAAGCAAAAAUAGUUAUACAAGAAUUUAAAACUGAAAUUUGGAAAUAAACAAAAUAGAUAUUUUAUCUGUAGAUUUCCUAAUUUUCGCACUUUCCUGACGUUGUUAUCAUUUGUAACCCUAUAAUACUUCUAACUCUAAAUCUUAACUGAGACUUUUUAUCAGUGCCAUAAGUUUCUCUUUCCAUUAUGAUAAUUAAUUUUAUCACUGUUAGUAAUAGUUUUUACUAAAUCGUCCUGCUGUCAUAAGAUUAAUGAAAUAAGUGUAAAAAUCAUACAAACUGAAUCCCUGGGAGAAAAAAAAGCUAUAUAAAGACAACAGAAAGUAAAAUAUAUAUUACAAUGCAAUAACAAUAAAACCAUAAAACACAUAUCACUUGUAAUAAGUGGGGUAACAUGCCUUUUUAUGAUCCAGCUUGAAACAACACUGACCGGGUAUUGCUUACCUCUAGGCAUGUAAUAUACAAUGAAAUUAAAAGGGUGUUAAAACAUUUGAUGCAAUUAAAUUAUUUUAUGUUAAUUUAAAACGAAAAAUAAAUAAUAACUAAAUUGAUAACGCAGUUUUCAAACGAAUAAUCAAAAUAUGUACCAAAACAGGUAUUAAGUCGAAAUGAACAGACAAAAGGAUAAGGUCUCUUACACUUUAACUAUAUAAUAUGAUUUUUAAAACAAAUUUGAUCUUCCAUAACAUAGCCUUGAUGAACUAAUAAUGCUGUAUUUCUUUCAAUAGUUUGUUCUGUAUUCAUAAA